GUUCUCCAAAGACAGUGGUCUUAUUUCUUUAGUCUUUAAAUUUGAAUUUAAAAGUAGAGGUUCAGAAAGAUCUGUUACCACAAGGUUUCAUCAAGAAGUAGCAGUGAGCAGUCUGGGACUAACUCUUUCUCGGAAGAUCUCAGCUGGGCCACUACACCAGUGCAAGUAGAUAAAUAGGUACACUGCAGCAGGAAGGCAAAACUAUGUUUCCAUGCACUCUGGCACUUGUCACAGUGUCCCGUUCCGCCAGAAGCUAUUUAGUCAUGCUGGCCACAAGACCAGCUGUGGUAGAGUGUGUGUGUGUUUUUUAUUCAUAAAAGAAUAAGAAAAUCCAGAGAUAGACGGGAAUAAUUUUCAACUCUGAAUAUAUUUUGCCUUCUCUGGCAAAAUAGGGUAGCAGAAAAGAUGGGAAAACAAAGUUGUCUGAGGUUGGAGUGUGUCUCAUCUUUCCCCUUUCAGCUCUCCCCAAACACUGCACACUUAAACAAUGCUGUGACACUGUUUCAGUAUCUGUUCUCUCUCUGUUCAGCAUCUAUUAUCUUUUAAGGCUUACUUAUCAGGACCAACAAUGCUUGGACACGCACAGAAUCAAGCUUGCCUUACGAGCUCGUAAACUUAAAACCACCUUGGAUCAAAGUGCAGUCAAAGUUAACUGAAAAUCUUGGAGAGAAAUGAAUUUUUACACUAGCCCUACUAAUGAGCAAAGCAAUCUUAAUUUUAGUUAGCCAGCUGCAAAGCUGAACCUGCUGUCCUGUUGCAUUUGCCCUGUGCAGCAGGCAGCCACCUACUUCUACGCGAAUGAGUCUUUGGUCCAGUGAAUAUCAGUCUACAACUGAAGCAAAUGCUGUCUUUCCCUGCAAACUAGGCGACUCUGCAGUGACAGCAUACAAUAUCUGUUGACGAAUAUCAGGCCUUUACAAAUAAGACCUUUAAUUUCCUAUUUUUUUUUUCCAAUUGGGAAAGUUAUUUUUGCAUGCACAGUAUGUCCUGUGUUCAACGAACCGUAUUAUCACAAAGCCAGCCAGCAAUCUGCUAGUGAUAUUUCUUGGUCUGCAAGCAGUAUCUGCAGCCCAUAGGCUUUGCUGAGUGUUGACACUUCAGUAGCAAUCUCAUAAAGUAGCCAUCUAUGUGCUGUAAAAUAGUACAUCCCCAUCCACCUCCUUGCCACCUGCCAGCCCCAAUUUCUCCCUAGUACUAAACAUUCUGGGCUAAGCAGGCAUCAGGAUGCCAGGCCCUCUUCAGGAGUCCUCUCGAUAUUCUUCAGCGUCCUCAAAGGCCCUCUAAGAGACUCAGCUCUGCCAGAUCCCUGCCCAGUACCAGUUGAAGGAGUACUGGGGCUGUAAUGUUGCUAGAUGCUAUAUUCUGCUUUCUGGGGGACUCAAAAACAUAGGCCAGAGCAGGGUUGGCCAAUGUGCCCUCCAGAUCUCGUUGGACUCCCAGCUCCCAUCAGCCCCAGCCAGCCUGGCCAAUAGUCAGGUUGAUGGGAGUUGCAGUCAAACAGUGGCUGGGGACCCAAGGUUGAAGAACACUCUAAAAAUGCAGGAGCCAGUGUUGUGUAGAGGUUAAACUAUUUAUUAAGAACAUGGAGGCCCGAGUCAAAUUCUCAGCCAGUUCUGUGGCUCACUGGGUGAACUUGGGCCAGAUGCCAUCUCACCAUGCUAGAGAAACAGUGGGUAACCAUUUUGCAGGCCAAUGGCAAAUUCCCUUGUGGGAAAUCAUCAUCAGCCUGAAUAGCACAGCUGGUUAGGAUGUGGUGCUGAUAGUGCCAAGGUUGCUGGUUCGAUUCCCGUAGGGGACAGCUGCAUAUUCCUGCAUUACAGGGAACUGGACUAGAUGAUCAUUUCCAACUCUACAAUUCUAUGGUUCUAUGAAACUUCCUGGGGCCACUAGGCAGAUGGGUGCCAAAAUUGAAAAGAAAAAUGGUGAAACACACACACCAAACAUUCAUUCAGUUAUCUCUGCUCCCCCUUCUCUCUCUCUCUGCUGAUACCUCUAAUGUGGGGGGGGGGGGGCAGACAGGGUAACAAUUUUGGCCACAUAAACAAUAGCACUAUCUCCUAAUGUAUUGGUAUAUAGGGUUACCACAGGGUGCCUGUGUUUGCUGAUUGAAGUUUUUCUUUUAUUCACGAUUGGUAGGCUGCAUGCUCUGCAAAACUAUGAGUUAAAAAGAAACCAAGGCAAUCUCCUCCUUCCUCACCCUGUGAUAACAGAAGAUGAAGAAGCCUUCAUCAUUCAGGGAUUUCUGGGCAAUAGACUUGAGGUGCUAAAUUGCUUUCGGUUGAAGCUGAUCGUUGCUACAUCUCAGGUGACAAAAGCAAGGUUGUUCUGUUGCAUUUGGUGUUCAGGGAUUCUUGGCACAGCAGAGAAUCCAGCACAGAAGAUCUGAAGUUCAUCCAGUAUUGAUUUUGUUACAGUGAAAGAGAAGAGCAGGAUUUUUAACUUCUUUCCUUACUGAGCAUCAUUCCAGCCUUUAAAAAGAACCCUUGAAAGGGAGAAGUAAAGUAAUACUGCCAACAACUCAGCCUACCAAAGUGGAAGGUUUCUCAUCAUCCUAGAAUUCCCUGCCCCAUUAGCCAUAUAUAUAUAUCGUUUUGAUCAUAUAUGAUAGAGGUGAAUGGCCCACCUGGUAAUCAUCAAUUUCAGUUCUGGGUAGGAAUGGAUGUGUAUCAAUCUAUCUCCAGGCUGUGUUGACUUUGCAUAUGUUCAUUCAUAAAUCAGUUCUGUCCUGUUUUCACAUUAGUGAUUUU